AUUGAACGCUGGCGGCAGGCCUAACACAUGCAAGUCGAACGAGUGGCGGACGGGUGAGUAAUGUCUGGGAAACUGCCUGAUGGAGGGGGAUAACUACUGGAAACGGUAGCUAAUACCGCAUACCAUCGGAUGUGCCCAGAUGGGAUUAGAUAGUAGGUGGGGUAAAGGCUCACCUAGGCGACGAUCCGUAGCUGGUCUGAGAGGAUGACCAGGACCACUGGAAUGGAGCUGAGGCACAGACUACACCGGGAGGCAGCAGUGGAGAAUAUGGCACAAGGGGCUGAAGCCUGAUGCAGCCCUGCCGAGUGUAUGGAGAAGGCCUUCGGGUUGUAAAGUAAUUUCAGCGGUGAGGCUGUACCCUCAGAAGAAGCACCGGCUAACUCCGUGCCAGCAGCCGCGGUAAUAC
rnacentral:rRNA from 1 species